rnacentral:rRNA from 1 species
UACGUAGGGCGCAAGCGUUAUCCGGAAUUAUUGGGCGUAAAGAGCUCGUAGGCGGUCUGUCGCGUCUGCUGUGAAAACUCGGGGCUUAACCCCGGCCUGCAGUGGGUACGGGCAGACUAGAGUGCGGUAGGGGAGACUGGAAUUCCUGGUGUAGCGGUGAAAUGCGCAGAUAUCAGGAGGAACACCAGUGGCGAAGGCGGCUCACUGGCCCGAUACUGACGCUGAGGUGCGAAAGCGUGGGGAGCAAACAGG